GAUGAACGCUGGCAGAAUGCUUAACACAUGCAAGUCGAUCGGGAAGUGGUGCUUGUUCCAUGUUUACCAUGGCGGACGGGCGAGUAACGCGUAAGGAACUUACCUGCGUGACCGGGUUAACAGCCGUCAACUGCCGACAAGACCGGCUAAGGACAUUAAGCUGCAUCGCUUAUCGAUGAAAGGAGACGCCUGCGGAGAGCCUUGCGUCCUAUUAAAUAGUUGGAAGGGUAACGGCCCACCAAGGCGAUGAUAGGUAGCCGGCCUGAGAGGGUGGACGGCCACGAGGGGACUGAGAUACGGCCGUUACUCCUACGGGAGGCAGCAGUGAGGAAUAUUGGAGAAUGGGGGCAAGACUGAUCCAGCAAUUCUGUGUGCACGAAGACGUUUUUCGGAUAGUAAAGUGCUUUCAGCAGGGAAGAAGGAAGUGACGGUACCUGCAGAGGAAGCGACGGCUAAAUACGUG
rnacentral:rRNA from 1 species